UAAUCAGUGAAAGUGCGCCAACGUCAAAUCACACAGACAGAGGGAGAGCACAACUCUUGGCUGCAGCUGAAGGAGGACGAUUGAUUUCUGUCAGUUCGUCUUACCAUUGCUUGUAAGCUGGAUUGGGUAAGAUGGAUCAUCUUUAAAGGCACCAGGAGUUAAGGCAGAUGUGGAGGCACAAUGGGUGACACCAGACACACACCAAGCACA